rnacentral:rRNA from 1 species
AUUGAACGCUGGCGGCAGGCCUAACACAUGCAAGUCGAGCGGAUGAAGGGAGCUUGCUCCUGGAUUCAGCGGCGGACGGGUGAGUAAUGCCUAGGAAUCUGCCUGGUAGUGGGGGAUAACGUCCGGAAACGGGCGCUCAUACCGCAUACGUCCAGAGGGAGAAAGUGGGGGAUCUUCGGACCUCACGCUAUCAGAUGAGCCUAGGUCGGAUUAGCUAGUUGGUGGGGUAAAGGCCUACCAAGGCGACGAUCCGUAACUGGUCUGAGAGGAUGAUCAGUCACACUGGAACUGAGACACGGUCCAGACUCCUACGGGAGGCAGCAGUGGGGAAUAUUGGACAAUGGGCGAAAGCCUGAUCCAGCCAUGCCGCGUGUGUGAAGAAGGUCUUCGGAUUGUAAAGCACUUUAAGUGGGGAGGAAGGGCAGUAAGUUAAUACCUUGCUGUUUUGACGUUACCAACAGAAUAAGCACCGGCUAACUUCGUG